GGGAGUGUGAGAUUCAGAUCAGUAGAAUAAGGAAUCGGACCGAAUAAUAUAAAGACCAGUGUAGCGGGAACCUGACGUCUAUCAUGAAGAAAAUUACAAGUAUUCUAGUUUUUCUUACCUUCUGCGUAAUAAGUAGCCAUGCUAGCCCGCAUACAAUGAAUAUCGCAAGGGAGGCUACCAAGGUUGAAGAGCGAACUGCUACCACGAUCUGCUCGCACCACGGCUGUGGCGGACAGAAUCAGUGCCCAGAAAAUUGUAAGUGUUUGAGGACCACUUCCCUAUUGACGAGGGCAUCUACUUGCUACUGAGGACACCUGUGCGACGGCUUAUGGGUGAAAAUAAAGGUUUUGACUUGA